rnacentral:rRNA from 1 species
UGAGUUUGAUCCUGGCUCAGGAUGAACGCUAGCGACAGGCCUAACACAUGCAAGUCGAGGGGUAACAGGGAAGCUUGCUUCCGCUGACGACCGGCGCACGGGUGCGUAACGCGUAUGAAACCUGCCUUAUACUGGGGGAUAGCCCGAAGAAAUCCGGAUUAAUACCCCAUAAUAUUAUUGAUUGGCAUCAAUUAAUAAUUAAAACUCCGGUGGUAUAAGAUGGUCAUGCGUGACAUUAGCUAGUUGGUAAGGUAACGGCUUACCAAGGCGACGAUGUCUAGGGGUUCUGAGAGGAAGGUCCCCCACACUGGUACUGAGACACGGACCAGACUCCUACGGGAGGCAGCAGUGAGGAAUAUUGGUCAAUGGACGCAAGUCUGAACCAGCCAUGUCGCGUGCAGGAAGACUGCCCUAUGGGUUGUAAACUGCUUUUAUAUGGGAAGAAAUAUAGUUACGUGUAAUUAUUUGCCGGUACCAUAUGAAUAAGCAUCGGCUAACUCCGUGCCAGCAGCCGCGGUAAUACGGAGGAUGCGAGCGUUAUCCGGAUUCAUUGGGUUUAAAGGGUGCGUAGGCGGAAUAUUAAGUCAGGGGUGAAAGUUUGUGGCUCAACUAUAAAAUUGCCUUUGAUACUGGUAUUCUUAAGUACAUU